CCUACGGGUGGCAGCAGUGAGGAAUAUUGGUCAAUGGGCGAGAGCCUGAACCAGCCAAGUCGCGUGAGGGAGUACUGCCCUAUGGGUUGUAAACCUCUUUUGCCGGGGAGCAACGGGGUCCUUUCGAGGGCCCGAUGGGAGUACCCGGAGAAAAAGCAUCGGCUAACUCCGUGCCAGCAGCCGCGGUAAUACGGAGGAUGCGAGCGUUAUCCGGAUGUAUUGGGUUUAAAGGGUGCGUAGGCGGGCUGUUAAGUCAGCGGUCAAAUGUCGGGGCUCAAUCCCGGCCUGCCGUUGAAACUGGCGGCCUCGAGGGGGCGAGAAGUAUGCGGAAUGCGUGGUGUAGCGGUGAAAUGCAUAGAUAUCACGCAGAACUCCGAUUGCGAAGGCAGCAUACCGGCGCCCUACUGACGCUGAGGCACGAAAGCGUGGGUAUCGAACAGGAUUAGAUACCCGUGUAGUC
rnacentral:rRNA from 1 species